GGCUACACACGUGCUACAAUGGGUAGAACAGAGAGUCGCAAAGCUGUGAAGUGGAGCUAAUCUCAGAAAACUAUUCUUAGUUCGGAUUGUACUCUGCAACUCGAGUACAUGAAGUUGGAAUCGCUAGUAAUCGCGAAUCAGCAAUGUCACGGUGAAUACGUUCUCGGGUCUUGUACACACCGCCCGUCACACCACGAGAGUUGGUUGCACCUGAAGUAGCAGGCCUAACCGUAAGGAGGGAUGCUCCGAGGGUGUGAUUAGCGAUUGGGGUAAAGUCGUAACAAGGUAUCCGUACGGGAACGU
rnacentral:rRNA from 1 species